rnacentral:rRNA from 1 species
AUACAUGCAGUCGAGCGGACAGAAGGGAAGCUUGCUUCCCGGAAUGUUAGCGGCGGACGGGUGAGUAACACGUGGGUAACCUGCCUGUAAGACUGGGAUAACUCCGGGAAACCGGAGCUAAUACCGGAUAGUUCCUUGAACCGCAUGGUUCAAGGAUGAAAGACGGUUUCGGCUGUCACUUACAGAUGGACCCGCGGCGCAUUAGCUAGUUGGUGGGGUAAUGGCUCACCAAGGCGACGAUGCGUAGCCGACCUGAGAGGGUGAUCGGCCACACUGGGACUGAGACACGGCCCAGACUCCUACGGGAGGCAGCAGUAGGGAAUCUUCCGCAAUGGACGAAAGUCUGACGGAGCAACGCCGCGUGAGUGAUGAAGGUUUUCGGAUCGUAAAGCUCUGUUGUUAGGGAAGAACAAGUGCGAGAGUAACUGCUCGCACCUUGACGGUACCUAACCAGAAAGCCACGGCUAACUACGUGCCAGCAGCCGCGGUAAUACGUAGGUGGCAAGCGUUGUCCGGAAUUAUUGGGCGUAAAGGGCUCGCAGGCGGUUUCUUAAGUCUGAUGUGAAAGCCCCCGGCUCAACCGGGGAGGGUCAUUGGAAACUGGGAAACUUGAGUGCAGAAGAGGGAGAGU